AUCACUUAAGGAAGUCAGAAAGUGCAGGCAAAACACAGGAGGGCCUUGUUUCAUUAGCACCAAUAAGCCCAUGUUCAGUGAUUCUUUGAAUCACUUCAAUCAUUGGAUUUCUUUGGAAAUACUGAGCAAAGUCAACCAAUCAGCACUUUGUUGCCCACCUCGGUACUUCUCAAGGACGGUCAAAUUGUGUAUUCCACCCUUCUCCAUCUGUGUUGCAUUCAACCGGCCCGGACUAUUGUGCCCUUCCUAAGGAUAUCACAGAUCUGGUUACUGCACAAGCAAUGCCACUCCCUUCAUUGGAGAUCAACUUGCUGCCCAGCGAGGCAACUCUCUGCGCUCGGCUAGCUGACCUUAAGAUAACGCCUUGGAGAGAUACUUCAAUCCACUAUGCAUGGAGUCUCUCAGUGAACGCAGCCCAAUGAGCCAGAACACAGAAUUCUCCCAGGGGUCAUUGUCGUCAUGGACAUCAGGAUCACAGACUGGAGGUCUCCUGUCCGAGCAGUGGCCCCUGAUACAAACUAGGUCUUGCAGAAGGAUAGCACUGGAGAGGAACAUCAAACAAUGGCAGACAGGCCAGUCUGUGGUGAGACGACACGCUGCGUGGGGGAGGCAAGAGCUUCAUCACUGUUUACCUUCUCCAUGCUUGGACUACACUAAAGCUGUGUGUGGGCCAGACCCCCGCUGAGACUGGUCGUGGAACUACUGUCAGCAGUGUGAACAACACCAAUAUCACCUCCCGCUGUAUGGACAGGUUCCGCACCAUUAUCUGGGUGACUUGCUAACCAGAAUUCCUCAUUCAUGAGACGUAAAAAGCCUGUAACAUUGGUAGAUACUUUUAUCCGCAGCACCAUGAGUGUAUACAGAUGUAACUGAUGCAGUUGUCACACUUGCUGAAUGUUCGCUGAAAUACUGCUGCACUCUGAAAAAAAGUCUUGUUCCUUGACCAGUCAUUACGAGUAGACUUUGGGUUUGUCAAAUCCUGUUGACAGUGUGAAAAUAGCACUGAGAGAAAAUUAGAAAAGAGUUGGCUACGACCCAUCUGAAACACAGAGAUACCAACAGGAUGCCUAAGUUCAUGUUUGUUGCAUCUUAUUCAUCUUAUUAACUGGACAAUUGGACAGAAUGGCGGAGUAUUAGGAUAUUUAACAGUGGCGCCUUACAGGAGCCAGCUUGUGCAUUUAGCUAAUUAAGGAAACCUUACAUGGCCUUUUGUUUGCACUAUCACACUGAGCUUGAAGUAAAAAUGAAGCCAGUAGUCACUGUGGAAGUACCUGUCAAAGUUGUAGGGUUUAAGGCUUGGUCACACCAGAAUUUGUAACAGAGAAAUCCCAAUGGACCAAAAUCAAUGGAAUCACCACAAUCAGUGGAUUUGUGUAGGCAAAGUAAAUUUGUGAAAUGCUUUCAUAUUGAGUUCAACUCUGGUCAACACUGACACCCAAGUUUCUGUGCUGUUGAUCAAUUGCAAAUCGUCUAAAAAGUGCUGAGCUGAGCAUAGUGAAUACUGAACAUUAGUACUGAACAUAGAACACGGAGAGUCCACAACAGAGGAAGCUAUCAUUAUUAGCUGUGUCUCGUACAAGCACGUCACCACUUUCUGGUGUGACCUGGCACUUGGAGUUUUACCCGCCAAAUUUGGUUGUUUUGAAAUUUUAGUUCCGGGUGUAAAAUUUAAAGGUUCAAGUUUACUGUUCUUUGGGCAAAUUGUAACACAGUCACCAAAAGGUUUAGUUGAACAAAAAACAUUAUACAUGUCUUAGGUUUGCAUGUUGUCUCUGGCAACCAAAGCACACACAUGCACUCUAACUUAUAGAUGCAGAUGCAAACUUUGUAGAUAUGCAGCACACUGAAUGGAUUCUACAUCCAUCACCUGAAUGGAUGUAGAAUAUAUUUUCCCCAUAAAAUCACAUAUCCCAUACUAAAUGAAUGUAAAUGACUAUGAUGGAUAUUGUUCAAGCUGACCAUUCACUGGAUUUUUUGUAGUUUUUUUCUAGAGAUAAAUCAUCACCAUCAUUGUUAUCAACUAUUCAAGAGAUUUAACUAAUGCCCUCAUAUCAUGCAGCAAACUCAUAAUCACUGUAAAAUACAUACUUGUACUACAUACAUGAUUAAUUAAGGUAUAUACAUAUAUAAAGCCUUAAGCUGGACGAAAGUUUUACGUUUGUAUAUCUGUACAAUUUUAAUUUGUAAACAACAGCAACAUUUAGUUUUUUCUUCAACAUCUAGUUUCAAAGAUGAGUCCUCAUCCUGACCUUCUGACACAGAACAAAUACAGGAUACCAAGAACAACUCAUUACAAAUUCCUUGAAUAAACCGUCCUAGUUUCAAUAAAUUUAACACGGCAACAGAACCUCCAGACACUGUAACCCGGGCCAGUUUCAGGCCUCAGAUGGUGGUCUCCCUCAUUCACUCUGUGUUCGCUAAUGACCCUGGAUCUGGAUUGCCAUUAUAAAACACAGAUAAAUGUUUACUGUCAAGAGAUGACAUCACGAGACUUAAGGACUGUACAAAUAUACAGGUGCUCCACCACCCCUCCGCUCUCUCCACUUCCUCAAGUCAAGUCCACAUUGGUUCGAUAAAAACAACUCUAAACGCCAGCAUACCAUGUUCACAUUUGCUCUGUUUCAUUUAUUUUGUUGGCCGCUGAAAACAUAAACUUUUACUUAGCUCUGUGUUAUUAGAAUGUAAGCUUUUUUCCAUGGAGGAGGUUGUGUGUGUGUGUGUGUGUGUGUGUGUGUGUGUGUGUGUGUGUGUGUGUGGGCAUGUCUGUAUUUCUUGACCUGAGUUUUCCUUCUCUGUCCUGUCACGGAUUAAGACCCUGUAUCCAGACACUUGUUUUUAAAGGCAUUACAUAAAACAUUCAAACACCAAUAAAUCAUUAGCAUGUUAAUAUGGAUACAUAAUGCAUCAUGACUGCAAAUAAACAAAAAUGUUUCAUUUCCAUUGAUGGGAAAUUUGAUGGAUACUUUGUGGCACAAAGUCAGAAGAUGAUAGUGAGUUUAUUAUGUCAAUGUUACAUAACAGAAAUCUAUAUUCCCUAUUAUCCAGGACAUCCUCCUCUUGCCUUCAAAUCAAAUGCCAAAGAGCAGGGUAGAUAAAGAGAAGUAUGCAUG